UAGGUUACAGUGCAAGAGACAAUGUGAGAGGGAGAGAGAGUGUUAGAAACUGUUGUAGGUUGCGGUGUAGAAAGUGAGAGUGCGUGCGGCGAGCGAGACACCGACUGUGACGGACAGAAACGCUCUUGUAGGUUGCGGCACGAGAAAGUGUGUGAGAGAGAAGCGGUGCGUGUUGUAGGUUGCGUGUAUGAGGGAAAAAGCGAGAAAGUGUGUAUGUGUGCAAGAGUGCGUGUUGUAGGUUGCAGUGAUGUGAGAGAGUGAGCAACUGUUGUAGGUUGCAGUGUAUGAGAAACAGGGAGAAAGUGUGUGAAAGAGAGUGCGUGUUGUAGGUUACGUGCGAGAGACAAUGUGAGAGGGAGAGAGAGAGAGAGAGAGUGUGUUAGAAACUGUUGUAGGUUGCAGUGUAUGAAGGAAAAAGUGAGAACGUGUGCACGUGCAAAAGAGUGCGUGUUGUAGGUUGGAGUGUAUGAAGGAAAAAGUGAGAAAGUGUGUACGUGUGCAAGAGAGUGCGUGUUGUAGGUUGCAGUGAUGCGAGUGUGAGGAACUGUUGUAGGUUGGAGUGUUUGAGAGAAACAGGGAGAAAGUGUGUAAAGAGAGUGAGUGUUGUAGGUUACGGUGCAAGAGACAAUGAGAGAGAGAGAGAGAGUGUGUUAGAAACUGUUGUAGGUUGCAGUGUAUGAAGGAAAAAGUGAGAACGUGUGCACGUGUGCAAAAGAGUGCGUGUUGUAGGUUGCAGUGAUGUGAGAGUGUGAGCAACUGUUGUAGGUUGCAGUGUAUGAGAGAAACAGGGAGAAUGUGUGAAAGAGAGUGCGUGUUGUAGGUUACGGUGCGAGAGACAAUGUGAGGGAGAGAGAGAGAGAGUGUGUUAGAA